UGCGCUUUUCCUUCUCUAAUCAGCUGUGCGGUUUCUCCAGUGAUGGUUGCUUCCGCUGCUGCUCGGUCCAGCCGCCGCCGUCGGGGCCGCUCUCCUGGUAUUCGAGCCGUUGUUAUUGCCCGUGUCCGUCGUGCUGCUGGCCGUCUUUCUUCGCUGGAUUUUCCAUUGCCGGCAAAUGCUGGUGUGCAUGGCCAGCUGGCUGAUUCGGAAUGCCGUGUCCGGUCCGGGGCUCGCCGGCCAUUUCGUUCUUCCCGGACUGGUGUGCACCAAUUAGAUUCGUGGCGAGAUGUUAAUGUGGACGUCGAUAGUCGCCGUCGGGAGAUUUCAUUAGGGAAGCGGCCUGUGGAUUGUACCAUUGACACUUCGCCUGUUGAAGUGGUUGACGGAUCGAGUAUUUGUGUUUCUGGUUUUCCUGCUGGUGUUCAUCUUUAUGGCUCUUUGGUUGGUGCUACGACUUACCGUUGCCGUCCAAGAGUGGUGCCCUUAUGUGCCGCCGGUACCUUUGGUCGGCCUACUUCUCUUGAGCACUCUCGUGUUGUGUGUGCUUGCCGUAAGCGGACUUUGGUGCGAUCGUACUGGUCGGACCGGAAAAGAGUACGUGGGAUGCAACCUCCGUUUUCUAAAGAUUACAUCCAACUGCUUAAGGGUGAGUAUAUAUAAUUUAUGGUUUAUGUGUCCGUGCUGCUUUCCAUUUGUGUUGCCGAAUCGGUGUUCUGUUUUGCAGCUACUUUUAGGGGGCGUUCGUAUUAUGGUGGACCGGAUUUGUGCUGCCGGAAAUGUGGGGCUUUUUUUUAUCCUGAAAUUGUCGCCGCCCUGAUAAAUAUGCUGAAUACACAUCACCGUUUGGUGGACACGUUCAGAAUUGCUCAAUAGAGUCUGCACCCCUGGUGUUUCUAAGGUGUCCAUUCGUUUUUUGGUGAUGACAGUGGUGCUCAUGCUGUGUUAGUUGUGGACACUUGGAUAGCGACAAUGUUGACCGUGAUUUGGAGGAUGGGGAUGUCACCCGUGGUCAGAUUACUAUGUUGGAGUACUGCAAAUACUAUGCUCACUAUCGUGAAGGUGAAAUUAAUCCUUAUACAAGUUGCAGUUGUUUGAGCUAGCAGAUUGCCGUUAAUGCAUUUUCUUGUGUAGAGGCUGGUCGAUUGGAGUACCAUUUCCAUAAACAAGAUAAACUUCAUUCUGAAGUUUAUCGGGGCAUAUCUGAUGCAAUGGGUGUACAAUAAUAAGUGUGCUUGCAUGAAGAAUGAUUGUUGUUCCAAGUGCUUUCCAAAGCCAUUUAGUGAUGAUACAAUGGUUGAUCGUGUUGGCUAUCCGGUUUACCGUCGUUCUGAUAACGGGCUUUAUGUGCUCAGACAGAAAGACUUACUUUAUUUGGGAAAUCAAUGGGUUGUUUCAUACAACAUGAAAUUGUUGAAGAGGUUUGACGCCCACAUAAAUGUGGAGUGGUGUAACAGGACAAAUUUAUUGAAAUACCUGUUUAAAUAUCUUACAAAGGGUCAUGAUGUGGUUCAUAUGCGUUUCUACGCUCAAGAUAAACCUAGUGGUGUUUUUACUGUGCCUUCUCCUACUGGCAGA